rnacentral:SRP_RNA from 2 species
GCUGGGCGUGGUGGCGGGCACCUGUAGUCCCAGCUACUCAGGAGGCUGAGGCAGGAGAAUCGCUUGAACCCAGGAGGCAGAGGUUGCAGUGAGCCGAGAUCGCCCCAUUGCACUCCAGCCUGGGUGACAGAGUGGGACUCUGUCUCAAAAAAAAAAAAAAAGUUUGUUACUUUUUUUUUUUUGAGACGGAGUUUCGCUUUUGUCACCCAGGCUGGAGUGCAAUGGGGCGAUCUCGGCUCACUGCAACCUCUGCCUCCUGGGUUCAAGCGAUUCUCCUGCCUCAGU